UUGAACGCUGGCGGCAUGCCUAACACAUGCAAGUCGAACGGUAACAGGACGCUGUGAUCCCUUCGGGGUGAACUUGUCGCUGACGAGUGGCGGACGGGUGAGUAAUACUUAGGAAUCUGCCCAGUAGUGGGGGACAACUCGAGGAAACUCGAGCUAAUACCGCAUACGCCCUACGGGGGAAAGUGGAGGAUCUUCGGACUUCACGCUAUUGGAUGAGCCUAAGUCGGAUUAGCUUGUUGGUGAGGUAACGGCUCACCAAGGCGACGAUCCGUAGCUGGUCUGAGAGGACGAUCAGCCACACUGGGACUGAGACACGGCCCAGACUCCUACGGGAGGCAGCAGUGGGGAAUAUUGGACAAUGGGGGCAACCCUGAUCCAGCAAUGCCGCGUGUGUGAAGAAGGCCUGCGGGUUGUAAAGCACUUUCAGUAGAGAAGAAAAGCUUACGGUUAAUACCCGUGAGUCUUGACGUAACCUACAGAAGAAGCACCGGCUAACUCCGUG
rnacentral:rRNA from 1 species